rnacentral:rRNA from 1 species
CUAAGGUAAUUUAAUCUUAUAAUCAAAAAAAAUGGAUCAACUAUUAACAUCAAAUAAUGUAUUAAUAAAUUAAAAGUUUAUUAAAUUUUAAAAUCACCCCAACCAAAUAAUAUAGACAAUCACAAUAAACAAAAACUUAAAAAUAAAUAAUUAUCUCUAAUAUAAAACUCUAUAGGGUCUUCUCGUCUAAUAAAAAAAUUUAAGCUUUUUAACUUAAAAAUAAAAUUCCAAUAAAUUCAAUUAAAGACAGUUAUUUUCUCAUCAAACCAUUCAUACAAGUUUUCAAUUAAAAAACUAAUGAUUAUGCUACCUUUGUACAGUCAAAAUACUGCAGCCAUUAAAUUAAUCAUUGGGCAGGUCAAACCUUAAAUCAUCAUCAAAAGGCCAUGUUUUUGU